rnacentral:rRNA from 1 species
ACAUGCCUACAACAUAGCGUUAAUGCACCAGAUCCCAUUAGAACUCCACAGUUAAGCGUGCUCAGGCUAGAGUAGUACUGGGAUGGAUGACCUCUCGGGAAGUUUUAGCAUUUUACAUGCC